rnacentral:rRNA from 1 species
CGGGUGAGUAAUGCCUGGGAAAUUGCCCUGAUGUGGGGGAUAACCAUUGGAAACGAUGGCUAAUACCGCAUAAUAGCUUCGGCUCAAAGAGGGGGACCUUCGGGCCUCUCGCGUCAGGAUAUGCCCAGGUGGGAUUAGCUAGUUGGUGAGGUAAGGGCUCACCAAGGCGACGAUCCCUAGCUGGUCUGAGAGGAUGAUCAGCCACACUGGAACUGAGACACGGUCCAGACUCCUACGGGAGGCAGCAGUGGGGAAUAUUGCACAAUGGGCGCAAGCCUGAUGCAGCCAUGCCGCGUGUAUGAAGAAGGCCUUCGGGUUGUAAAGUACUUUCAGCAGUGAGGAAGGUUCGUGCGUUAAUAGCGUAUGGAUUUGACGUUAGCUGCAGAAGAAGCACCGGCUAACUCCGUGCCAGCAGCCGCGGUAAUACGGAGGGUGCGAGCGUUAAUCGGAAUUACUGGGCGUAAAGCGCAUGCAGGUGGUUUGUUAAGUCAGAUGUGAAA